rnacentral:rRNA from 1 species
GUCUUGGUAGUAGAAUGUAAAAGAACAAAGUACAUGCCGAACGGUUUUUACAGUUUGAGAGCUAGAUAAGCGGGGUGACACGUUACGGUCUGAGAAUUCAUGUUGUACUUACGGUCCCGACCAUCUACUAAAUGCGAACUCCUCAGGUUCCAAGUACUUCAACUAUUAGACCAAAACACUUCCUUCCCCGGUCGGUACCUCUUCUAGGACGACCAGCAGGGACCGUUAGGUCCAUAACAACCUAAGAUGUUCCUGAAACACCUUCGGGAGACACUCGAUCAAGUACCUCUGAGCUGUCAGGCUCGCUAGAGACAUCGCACUUACCUCACUAUCAGGUCUAUUGACCACUCAGUUUGUACAAGGUACUACAACAAAACUCGAACUUUCGUGUAUUAUGUAAAUGACUGUUUUAUUUGAUUACGUAGGAGAUCGAGACAAAUACGUAAAGUCGACUUCUGCACCGUCUACUAUACCUGAUGUGUCAGGUGUGAUAUACGACGAUGAUUUAAUUCUACGUGUUUCAAGUGUGAUAUACGAAAAGUACAGGGGACCGUCACCGGAGAUAUACAGUGUUUCAAGUGUCAUCCCCUACACAUCCCUAAGUACACCAACUACUCAACAUCGCACAAAACGGAUCCCUAAGUACACCAACUAGCCAACAUCGCACAUGACGAUAACCCAAGGUACGGAUAGGAGCCUAUCUAAUUGAGAGCUGAGUACAUCACAACGCAACUAAGUACUAGAUCUCCGACAAUGACUACACCGCAACCCUCUAAAUCGUCGGACUAAACUACUCUGACCAUAUAGAAUAACAUCUAACAUUUAGUCAAAGCAUACAACAGGUAUACACAAGGCUUCAUAAAAGGCUCCUCUUAAACAAAACUCUAUAGGUAUAGUACAACACGAGCGACAAAUCAAAACAAACAGGGUUUUCCGGAUACAAUAAAUCAAAAAAACAACUUAAUUAGUAUUUACCAUCUAAAAAACAAUAAGCUUCGACAACUUGUUACAUCAAUCCAAACAAAAUAACGACGUAAUCUUAAUGUCGUUAGCAGGAUCAGAACAAAACAACAUCUGUACCGUAACAAUCUUGAAGCCUACAUCUAAAAGUAGUUGACAAAAACACCAAAAGGUAAUCUUUUACAUAUACGUAACAAAUAAGAUAAAAUUUGAAGUAGUACCAUACCAAACAAAGAUAAGAUGACCGAACUAAAACAAUUGUGAUCGUACGAGACAAACAAAACCUCGGGUUGGUACCUGACAUGCAUGAUUCGAUCGAGUUCGCGUGUGUGUGUCGGUUGAACUAACUACAGACAUCUAUGAUCGUCAUCGUGCACACACACAGAGGAUAUGAGCGAACGAAUUAAAGACAUGAUCUAGUUGUUGUGAUUGAGAAUGAAGAAACAAACUAAGCCUCGUCAUCCUUAGGAGACACCUGUUACUGCUGUUGGUCCCGUAGGUGGCGGUGCUGCUGCGAGCCGUGUACCAGGUUGAGUCGAUGUUGGAGGAGAUGGCGCCCUGCUUCUGGCACCGGCACACGCCGUAGCUGAUGUUAGAGGAGAGUAGAUUCACUCCUUCUUGGUCGACGGCUGCCCGCUCCCGUACCCCACGGACCUCCGGUUCGUGGUGGAAGACGACUCGAUGACGGUCCCGGAGCAGAUAACAGUCCUGGCCUAAAAGCCCUAUAAUUAAAGGUCUUUUACCGGGAACACGAGUGGUCGGGGUCCUAAUGACAAUCGACUACUCCGUGGUUGAACUAUGUCUUUAAGGUUCGUUUUAUGUUUUAUACAUCAUGUUCUGGUAAGACCGGAUACUCAUGUUGUUCACCAAAGAUCAUCAACUACCGCCUUCGCCAAACAACUAGUAGUCACAGAUACCCUGAGGUAAAGGG